rnacentral:rRNA from 1 species
CCUACGGGUGGCAGCAGUGGGGAAUAUUGGACAAUGGGCGAAAGCCUGAUCCAGCCAUGCCGCGUGUGUGAAGAAGGCCUUCGGGUUGUAAAGCACUUUCAGUGGGGAAGAAAGCCUUGGGGCUAAUACCCUCGAGGAAGGACAUCACCCACAGAAGAAGCACCGGCUAACUCCGUGCCAGCAGCCGCGGUAAUACGGAGGGUGCGAGCGUUAAUCGGAAUUACUGGGCGUAAAGCGCGCGUAGGCGGUCUGAUAAGCCGGUUGUGAAAGCCCCGGGCUCAACCUGGGAACGGCAUCCGGAACUGUCAGGCUAGAGUGCAGGAGAGGAAGGUAGAAUUCCCGGUGUAGCGGUGAAAUGCGUAGAGAUCGGGAGGAAUACCAGUGGCGAAGGCGGCCUUCUGGACUGACACUGACGCUGAGGUGCGAAAGCGUGGGUAGCAAACAGGAUUAGAUACCCCUGUGUC